rnacentral:rRNA from 1 species
UACGAAGGGGGCUAGCGUUGCUCGGAAUCACUGGGCGUAAAGGGUGCGUAGGCGGGUCUUUAAGUCAGGGGUGAAAUCCUGGAGCUCAACUCCAGAACUGCCUUUGAUACUGAAGAUCUUGAGUUCGGGAGAGGUGAGUGGAACUGCGAGUGUAGAGGUGAAAUUCGUAGAUAUUCGCAAGAACACCAGUGGCGAAGGCGGCUUACUGGUCCGGUUCUGACGCUGAGGCGCGAAAGCCAGGGGAGCAAACGGG